rnacentral:lncRNA from 1 species
CGCCUUGUCACAUGUUGUAAUGGUCAUUAAUACUCCACUUAAAGGAGAUAUUCAUUCACUGUGCUUUGUCUUCAUGAGCUAUUAUACAACCCAUGCCUGGAAUUCCAUGCUAAUGGUGGCACGACUUAAAAAUUAGUUGAAAGAGAAAAAACAAGAAAGCAAAUAGGAAAUAAAGUGACACACACUGGCAUCAGUAAGUUUGCUUGCCACUGCUCAUUUAUUUUCCUACCGCAUUAGAUUGUGAACUUAUUAAAUAUAUGGUGACAAGUUAAUUAAUGAAGCUCAAUAAGAUACAGGGUCAAAUUAGCACUCUUUGGCUAAAUGAGGUUCAAAAGCACUAAUUAUUAGAAUUUCUAAGUUGUGAUGAAACCAUUGACAUGAAUAAACUCUUAAAAUGUAUUAUUAAUCAGAUAACAUGAUAAUUUUAGAAACUUACACAUUCUUUUUUAUCAUUAAUAGAGCAAAAUAUGCGCAAAGUUUUCUUUUUAAGUGCAAAAUUUAAAUUUUGAUAACUAAACACACAUUUCAGGAUUAGUUAUUCAAGAUGUAACUUUGGGUACACACAUUAUAUAAAUCCUAAAAGUUUCAUGUGACUUACAGUUUUAUUGUCUUUCCUUAAGGAACUUGGGUUCCUCCUAUGACCAAUGAUUCCCAAUCAUCAGAAUGACCUUAAAAAAGAAAUAAAGAUUCAAGGGCUCUACCUCUGGAGAUUCUCAUUUUGUGGGUCUGGGGUAAAGCUUAAGAACUUUUAUUUUUAAAAAACUUUCCAGAUGCUAGAAUCUCUGGUUUAGGUAAUUCACUCAGUAACACAGAUUUAUGUAAGGAUAAUGUCUGACAUAUUUGAAAUGUUAGAUGAUCUGGAUACUGUUUUUAGAUUGUUUUCUUCACAUUAAAAAAAUAAUCCUGAUACUGCUACUGUUUUGGUAAAAGAGGCUGUACUUGCUUUUUAAUGACUUUUAUAAACCUAAUGGCUAAAAAACAGAUCUCUUAGAAAGUCUACCCAACACUUAAGAUGUGAUUUUUUUCCCUGUCAUGUUCUCAUUUUUAAUAUGUUUAGAGAGAAUCUCUUUUCAGUCUGUUAUUCCAUCUUUCACUAGCUAUGUAAUUUUCUUACAAUUCAAUAUUUUAAGAACUGUUAAAUUAAUUAAGCAAGGAGGCCAUUAGACUGUGGUGGCUGCAGUGCUUUGGAAGUCUAUGUGAGUCUAUAUGUAGGUCUAAAAUCUAAGCUUCUAAGUGUCUCAAGGUUACAAAAUCAAAAUGCUAAGGACAGACAAUCCCAAAGAGCUAACUAGGAUUUAAGCUGUAACCAAUCAAAUAAUUUCCUUUCUUUCUUCUCUUUCUCUAUAUGUCUUUCCCCUGGUUCCUGUUCACUGAUGGCUCUUAACCACUUCUGGUUUGGUGCAGCAGACUUGGAAUACAUUUUUGCUCAAAUAAACCCAACAUUUUUGGUAAGCCUUGGUUUAUUUUUUAAAAGAAUAUUGCCUAAAGUAAGUUUUGCUUAGGGAACCAGUGUCACUAACUUUUUUCCAAGUUGGUAUCUCCAGUUGAGAAGAGUUCAUCUUCAUCACUGUGGUGCUGAGAAGUCAUGCAGGACUCUGCCUCUAUCUAUGUCAGUCAUGGCAAAAUGCAGUCUGGGCAGGUUUCCAAGUUCAGCUGACAUUCCUAAACCAAUAAGAAGUGUCCACAAUGGUUUCCAGCUUUCUCCCCUCGGGUAAGAGUUGGAUUUGUUGCCAUGGAGACCGACCUUUACCAGCUUGAACACAUUUGCCAUUUGACACAGAGGAAUAAAUCAGUGACCUGACUGUGGGCACAGGGCUGAAGGCCGAUUCUCCUGGAACAUUACCAUCAGUUUGCUCAACAACUUUUGCUGACUUUCUUCUUGAAACUGUGCCAUGACAUUCAUGAGAGCAUGACUCAAUCAGCCCAGCAGCCUCAGUGAGCUCCAGUGGCCUCAACUUGAGGAUUUAUAGUCUUCACAAACACAGAGUACAUUUCUUUGUUUCCUUUCAGAAUCGAAGAGUGAUUCAUUUUCAGUAAACAAAGAGAGGAUUACCAACCUGUUUACUAGGCUGGAAUUUAGCUUCCUCUGCAUGCAGUUCUUCCCGUUCCUAGGAAAGCCCUUGUGCAUUUCAAACAGUUCUCUUUCUUUUUUAAUCUACUUUCUUUCUUCCUCCAUGGAAAAGAUAUAUAAUUUAGCCCUCACUCAAAUCCAAAGGAGAUAACUUUCAAAGGCCACUUAGGCCCUAAUGUUUGUCCUUUGCAAGAACACGCAAUUGUGAUUCUGAAGAAUUUAAAUGCAGAUAGUGUUGGAAGGCAGAGAUGUUUUGCUACUGUUGAAAUGCAAAAGAAAAUUCUGCUUUACAACUGCACUGUGCCACUCCUGACAUUGAUAGGUCCUGUAUUUACCAGAAGGGGAAAAAAUUAAAAUACCUUACCUGUCUGCACAGUAUCUUUGGUGGUUAUACAACAAUAAACUAUUCAGCAAUCGGAUACAUGUCCUGUUAAAAUUGACAGACCAAGCUGAAAAUGGUUGAAGAUGUGUGCAGUAGCUCAUGUUCCUACUUUCUGUAGAUUAGCUUCCUAUCAUAACAGCUGCAUUCACGAGGGCUCUUAUUGUCUCAAUUAUAAAGUCAACUCAAACACAUUAGCACUACGCUGAUAGCUUCAGCAAAUCUGAAAUAUUUUUAACUGUUGACAAAAGGUUCAAUUUCAUUAUAUGGAAUGCCAGGGUAAAACUAUGGUAAUAUAAUCAUUUCCUCAGAGUUUCAUCAUUUGUAUGGUCCCAGAAAAAUGAUUCUUUCUAAAAUUAUCUCCAAAUGGUCUAAAGUAAGCAGUUUUCAAGUCAGUGGUUAUCUCAGGCAGCUGAUAUUCACCUAUCCAUUUAUUUACUAGAAAUAAGUCAUAGAUAGCCAGUUUUUGACAUGAAUCUUCUCAUUUUCAAAAGAACAUUAGAAAUAGCUCAGCUAAUGUACCAUAAAAGUUCAAUUCAAGUUCUGAUAAUGAACCUAAAGAGCAUAUUAACAAAUGAACCUAUUCCUUUAUAUGCCAACAAGUCAAAGUUUUAUUUUCCAAUUUUUUCCCUGUGGUAUAAACAAAUUCUCCUCACAGAAACUCAGCAUCAACUCAGAAAAAUUCCUUUUGACUAAAUAUGUUUAGUCAUCUGUCACCUAUUCAAGGCUAUCUCCUGAAGUACAGAGAUAUCCUUGGAGUAGGGAGAUUUUUAUCUUAUGAUUCUGGAUUUUUAAGCCACUAGCUUCCUUAGACUAUGGGAUGAAUGUGGGGAGUGAAAUCCUGUAUUUUUAAAUCCAGUUAUUUCCAUCUAUUGACAGAAGGUCCAGUUUCAUUAUACUGAAUAAUGGACUAGCUCUGUAGCUAUGUAAUAAAAAUGGAGUUAAACAUGCUUUUCUCUCUUCCUGGCAAGAUUUCUGUGCUCUGAAAAUAGCCACAAAGUGAGAUGGGUUUUAUUUCUCUUUAUUCAGUAAGGAUUGGAUAUCUUGACUUUCUUUUAUCAUGUUUCAAAUUGCAUGCUUUGAUGAAUUUACCCACCUACCUUGCUUUUGUAUCUUAACCGGGGAUGUGAGUGUUAGUGCAAAUAUCUCUAUAUUGAUAUUUUAACCAUUAGCAUUUCUUGAGUUUUGGCAAUAAAUUUGAGGAUAUUUUGAAAUUUUGCUUGUUUUAGGGAAAAUGCAUUUGAUGACCCAGAGGGUUUGAGAGUGCAGAAUUAUUCUGAUCUUAUAUAGCGAGAGAUUAAUCCAAUUUCCCAAACAACUUUUUCUCUCAUAAUUAUGUUAUUUCUCAUGAACUGAAAAUUACUUCACUGGGUCACUUAAUAAGUGUAAAAAUUGGAAAACCUUGAAGGGAAACCUAUUUACAGUUUACCCCUUAAUACAAUUUAAUAUUAAAAUUAGGACCAUAUUUCCCAGCUUGUGUAAAGACUAAUUCAAGUCAAUUUCCAUUGCAUUUGGGAAAAGCAAGAAGCAAAAUUGUAUUUAGGGCAAGUAAGAAUCUAAAUGUUUUAACCUUAGUAAUCAUCUGUCAUUUCUACUUGCUAGAAAAUGUCGUUUCAUCUAGAACACUCUAGAGAGAAACAAUUUGAAAAUAUUCUUUGAGCUAUUUGGUUCUAAGUUCCUUCCUGGUUGUCAACUCAGAGAAAUGAUGGCCUAAGUCUUAAAAGAGCACAGUCACUGCUCUUUUAAGAAAGUAUAGCAGUUCCCACUGUGGGUCAUUCAGGACUCCCAGUAAAUGGUGAUAAACUUAAAACAGUGAGGAGAAGUGCAAUAUUUUUAAUUUAAAAUUUCAUAUAUUACGCCUUAUUUGUGUAUAGUGAAAUAGGAAAAUUACUAUGUACAAGGUACUUAUAGUAAAUUCAUCACCAUUCAUUGAUUUGCAUAUCGCAUUUCAGUUUGCAAUGCUUUUUUUACAUACAUAAGCUCAUUUGGAUCUUUCAGUAUCUCCUAGGUAGAGUAGCUGAGCUGUUACUAUUUACAGCUAUGAACUUAAAGGCUCAGAGAGAUUAAGUGACUUUCUGAAGUUCACACCACUAAUGAGACAAGCAAAAUUCAAACCUGUCUCCAAUGCUUUAAAAUGUAAUAAAGAUAAGAUAGUUUUAUGAGCACCUAGAGCAAUGUCUGAUGCAUAUUAGCUGUUUAUUAAAGAAUAGCUUCCAUUCUUUUAUGUUUCUUUCUUUUCAUGUUACUCAAACUAUCAAAGGGAUCAGGCCAGUUUUAUAUGAAAGAAAAUAGUUUUCUUUCUAAAGUAAAAGUUACUGUGAUCUGAGAAAAGAUGUAAAGCCCGAUAUAUUCCAUGUGGAUUAAGUGAUAAAUCAAAAAGCAGGUGCUGGUGGACCAACCAAAAAGCGUAUAAUGAGUAUGAACUGUGUGCCCAGAACUGGGUAGGUCUGUGAGGAUGCAAAAGCAAAUAAGUCAAGGUAUUUACCCCAGUGGGGCAUGGCUUCUAGACUCAGGCAGACUUGUCUUCAAAUUGAGGCCCUGUAAUUUACUAGCAUGGAGACAGAGGGCGUGUUAAUCACCCAUGAGGUUGUGGGUUUGAUCCCUGGCCAUGUUCAGUGGGUUAAGGAACCGGCGUUGCCGUGAGCUGUGGUGUAGGUCGUAGGCCCGGCUCGGAUCUGGUGUUGCUGUGGCUUUGGUGUAGACUGGCGGCUACAGCUCUAGUUAGACCCCUAGCCUGGGAACCUCCAUGUGCCGCAGGAGCGGCCCUAGAAAAGGC